rnacentral:tRNA from 1 species
GCAGGUAUAACUCAGUGGUAGAGUAACCGCCUUGUAAGCGGUAAGCCGGGAGUUCAAAUCUCCCUACCUGCU